CAGAUUCCUACUGGAAAUCCAUUAUAUGAAUCUUAUUACAAGCAGGUCGAUCCCGCAUACACAGGGAGAGUUGGGGCGAGUGAAGCCGCUCUUUUUCUGAAGAAGUCUGGGCUCUCCGAUGUUAUCCUUGGAAAGAUAUGGGACUUGGCUGACCCAGAAGGUAAAGGGUUCUUGGACAAACAGG